CGUCAAGGGCGCAGCCUGAUGCAGCAACGCCGCGUGAGUGAUGACGGCCUUCGGGUUGUAAACCUCUGUCUUCAGGGACGAUACUGAUGGUACCUGACGAGGAUGCCACGGAUAACUACGUGCCAUGCCCCGCGGCGCUAUAAUA
rnacentral:rRNA from 1 species